GAAGAAUCCAGAGAUGGAUUGGUGCCUUCGGGAACCGUGAGACAGGUGCUGCAUGGCUGUCGUCAGCUCGUGUUGUGAAAUGUUGGGUUAAGUCCCGCAACGAGCGCAACCCUUAUCCUUUGUUGCCAGCGGUCCGGCCGGGAACUCAAAGGAGACUGCCAGUGAUAAACUGGAGGAAGGUGGGGAUGACGUCAAGUCAUCAUGGCCCUUACGACCAGGGCUACACACGUGCUACAAUGGCGCAUACAAAGAGAAGCGACCUCGCGAGAGCAAGCGGACCUCAUAAAGUGCGUCGUAGUCCGGAUUGGAGUCUGCAACUCGACUCCAUGAAGUCGGAAUCGCUAGUAAUCGUGGAUCAGAAUGCCACGGUGAAUACGUUCCCGGGCCUUGUACACACCGCCCGUCACACCAUGGGAGUGGGUUGCAAAAGAAGUAGGUAGCUUAACCUUCGGGAGGGCGCUUACCACUUUGUGAUUCAUGACUGGGGUGAAGUCGUAACAAGGUAACCGUAGGGGAACCUGC
rnacentral:rRNA from 1 species